AAGGUUGGCUAAUCCUGGUCGGACAUCAGGAGGUUAGUGCAAUGGCAUAAGCCAGCUUGACUGCGAGCGUGACGGCGCGAGCAGGUGCGAAAGCAGGUCAUAGUGAUCCGGUGGUUCUGAAUGGAAGGGCCAUCGCUCAACGGAUAAAAGGUACUCCGGGGAUAACAGGCUGAUACCGCCCAAGAGUUCAUAUCGACGGCGGUGUUUGGCACCUCGAUGUCGGCUCAUCACAUCCUGGGGCUGAAGUAGGUCCCAAGGGUAUGGCUGUUCGCCAUUUAAAGUGGUACGCGAGCUGGGUUUAGAACGUCGUGAGACAGUUCGGUCCCUAUCUGCCGUGGGCGCUGGAGAACUGAGGGGGGCUGCUCCUAGUACGAGAGGACCGGAGUGGACGCAUCACUGGUGUUCGGGUUGUCAUGCCAAUGGCACUGCCCGGUAGCUAAAUGCGGAAGAGAUAAGUGCUGAAAGCAUCUAAGCACGAAA
rnacentral:rRNA from 1 species